GACGAACGUUGGCGGCGUGCUUAAUACAUGCAAGUCAACUGAAGCAGUGGUAGCAAUAUCGCUGUGGAGGUGGCGCACGGGUGAGUAACACGUAGGUAAUCUGCCUUCAGGUCUGGCAUAACUCCGGGAAACCGGGGCUAAUAGCGGAUGAUCCAGCGGCUCGACAUCGAGGCAGUUGUUAAAGCUAUGGCGCCUGAAGAUGAGCCUGCGUCUGAUUAGCUAGUUGGCGGGGUAACGGCCCACCAAGGCAACGAUCAGUAGCUGGUCUGAGAGGAUGAUCAGCCACACUGGAACUGAGACACGGUCCAGACUCCUACGGGAGGCAGCAGUAAGGAAUAUUGCUCAAUGGGAGAAAUCCUGAAGCAGCAACGCCGCGUGAGGGACGAAGGGCUUUUGCUUGUAAACCUCUGUAGUGAGAGAAAAAAAUCCCAAUCUUUGGGACAUGAUGGUAUCUCAAAAGUAAGCCCCGGCUAACUACGUG
rnacentral:rRNA from 1 species